CUCAAUUCACCAAGAAUAUUACAUUAAAUAAGUGAAUCUAUAGAAAGAAAUGUCACAACAUGUAAGCGCAAUUGUACCUUUGCAAUUUCGCAUACUGUCCCUAAGUAACAUGGCUGAAGCAUAAGGAAAUGUAUGCAUAAACAUUACAUGACUAUGUUUCUUUGAUGGAUGUCCAAUAUGUUAAUUUUACCAAGUAAAACAGGGGCAAAACAAAAUAUCAAGAAUUUGAGCAAGAAAAACAAAAACCAACCUGUUCAUCGGCAGCAAACUAGCUAGUUCUUCGUCAGACUUGCAUUUUUGAGCUAUUAAAUGGGACAAGUCCUCAUUAUCAGUGAACUAAAAAUGAAUUUAAAAAACAAGUAUCAAGACUUCAAUAAUGGCCUGAAUAAUCAAUCCACAUUAAGAUAUCGAAACAAGGAUACUUUUUCUAAGUUUAAAACAAAGACUACGCGAAAUAUAUCAUGGCGUUGCUACCUCAGCAAUUUGAAGAUAUUUCUUUUCUUUACAUGUAGAAAAUUUGAAUCACAAUCUUAACUGCUGUAUCAAAAUCUUAGUCUAUGUCUCGAUCAAUUUUUACCAUUAUUUAUGCAAAGUGCCUGACAUUUUACCAUUUCAUAUUCCAUCAACAACUGAUACUGAAAUUUAACCAACAACAAAUCAUCAAAAUAAUUGGACAUAGAAUAUCACAAUAAAAUUCACACCAAACAAAGACGACAAAGACUAUACCAUUUGUAUCAAAUCUGAACUUUGAGUUCUACAACAAGAAAAUCGCUAAGCAAAGAAACAUACCGGGAAGUCACUGAUUGCUUAAAUGCCAAAUAAAGGCUAAGAGAACGAAGAUGAAGCUCAGCAGAUCAACAAUACGGCAGCAAACAAAUUUAAUCUUAGAUAGAAAACCAAAUUGAAACCCAGAAAAUGGUGAUGAAAAGCUCCUCGAAUGCUAUCAACCCUAUGUUUUCUUAACCGCUGCUAGGUUUUUCAGGGGUGGGUUCUGUCUCUUUCAACGGAAAACGAAGGUUUCUCAUUUAUCUGAUGAGAGGAGUGAGAGACGGCUAGUUCGAAUUUUCAAAAAUGAAGGGGAGUCCGAUCUUUUUGGUAUGAGGAAUCUUAUUUUUGUCCAUGUCUAAUGUUUGCGGUGCUGGGGUUACGUAAUGAGAAGGGGAUCUGAUCUGGUUGAAAGAGGGAAGGCCUUCUUCUACUUUAGAAUG
rnacentral:lncRNA from 1 species